CGCUUUCCUCUGUUUUCAAGGACGGCCACCCAUGCACAAUGCCUUACGAGGUCAAUUGCCGCGGUACUCUGACCGUGCUAAGGUAGCGUAAUAAAUAGCCUGUUAAUUGCUGGCCUGAUCAAUGGUUCAACGCUGGUAGUACUGUCUCUUUAAUAAUAAUUUGAAUUUAACUUAGGGGUGAAUAGGCCCACAUUCAGCUGAAAGACGAUUAGACCCUAUCGAACUUUAGUCUAAGUAGAAUUUCGCUUUUCUUAAUUCUAGCACUAAUCUAUGUAAAUCUUUGGUUGGGAAAACCGGGAACCAGACAAAGCGUUCACCGCCCACACAAGUUAAGCGUAAAAGCCUACCAAGUAGGCUUUUACACUUCUAGGUAAUUACCUAAGGGUAACUUACAGCCUAACUAAACUUCAGUACGACAGUACAUUAUUUAGUAGUUUCAUAAUCCUCAUAACCCCACCUCACAUGUGUACUUGAGCCCACGUAAGAGUUACCGUAGGGAUAACAGCGUAAUCCUCCCUGAGAGACCACAUUAACGGGAGGGUUUGCGACCUCGAUGUUGGCUUAGGGCAUCCUAAAAGUGCAGGGGCUUUUAAGGGUUGGUCUGUUCGACCAUUAAAGCCUUACGU
rnacentral:rRNA from 1 species